UCACCUCCACAGGCAGCCGGGCCCCCAGGCUGGGCUGGGCUGGGCAAGUAUCUCUUUGAAAGGCUCACCCUCAAGCAUGACUAGGAGC
rnacentral:pre_miRNA from 1 species